rnacentral:tRNA from 1 species
GGAAAUGUGCCUGAACAUCUAAGGAUCACUAUGAUAAAGUGAACAUAGAGGUCUACCAAUCCUCUCAUUUCCU